UACGAGGGGGGCGAGCGUUGUUCGGAAUUAUUGGGCGUAAAGGGUGCGUAGGCGGCGCGGUAAGUCGGGUGUGAAAUCUCGGAGCUUAACUCCGAAACUGCAUUCGAUACUGCCGUGCUUGAGGACUGGAGAGGAGACUGGAAUUUACGGUGUAGCGGUGAAAUGCGUAGAUAUCGUAAGGAAGACCAGUGGCGAAGGCGGGUCUCUGGACAGUUCCUGACGCUGAGGCACGAAGGUCAGGGGAGCAAACGGG
rnacentral:rRNA from 1 species